rnacentral:rRNA from 1 species
AAGCGCUUGUGACCAGACUUGUGCCCGGCGGAUCAACCAGCGUUCUCGCUGGUGCACUCCUCCGGGCUCAGGCCAACAUCGGUUCUGGGGGUCGGUUAAAGGCUCGGGGAAUGUAUCUACCCCCCGGGCGUAGACUUAUAGCCCCGAGUGUCAUGCGGCCUUCCGGGACCGAGGAACGCGCUUCGGCUCGGAUGUUGGCGUAAUGGUUGUCAGCGA